GUUCCUAUUAACAAAUUUUUCAUCAUAAAGAUGAUGACGGCGACUAUGUUGGUGGACGAUGACGAUAUUUUGUAGAAAGAUGAAUACUAGUGGCAUUUUUUUGUAAGCGAGCGUUACUCGUCAACAAAACGUACAUUUCUUUAUUGAAGCUUGAAAAUCAAAACAAAAUGAGCGAUUCCAAGAUUCUUUGGUUGUGUCUCUGCUCUUGGAUGAGCGAAGUGAAUUGCGCCUCAAUAGACAGGAAGAAGUUGUGAAUGAACUUUUGGAUGGCGUUUUUGCAAGCUCCAGCUCUUCUGAAGACUCGGAAGGCGAAACCGAGGACCACCCCAAGUGCAACAAUUUUGAAGCGACUCUCGAUGCCAUGGGUGGGAGUGAUUUUAAGAUGCACAUGAGACUGAAACGCGUGACGGUGGAAUACCUCAUAAUGAGGUACUCGCAAUCUAACUAUGUUCCUGACCCAUCUGGCGGAUGAAGAAAACCGGUUACGGCCAAAAAGUCUCCUUAUAUGUAUAUCUGAUACGUGAGCAACACAGUGACCUUUAGACAACUUGGAAAUUUGUUUGGGGUAUCUGUCAGCGGCAUAGUCAACAGUUCAGCGUGUUACUGGAUUUUUAAUUUCCAUUAGGAAUGAACACAUCAAGUGGCCAGAAGGACAUUAUUUAAAUGCAAAUGUGGACAAAUUUUACCAGAAAAAAACGCAUUCCUGGCGUGAUUGGUGCGAUCGAUUGCACGCAUAUUGUAAUUAAUAGACCAAAAGUACAAAAGGAAAUGUACUUUAAUCGGAAAAGAACAUACAGUGCUUCAAGCUGUAGUCGAUGCUAACAAAAAGUUCAUCGAUAUAACUUGUGGAGAGCCAGGGUCGCUUCAUGAUUAUAGAGUGCUAACAAGAUCCAAACUCUUUCAGGACGCAGAAAAUCAUUAUGAGGAAAUGUUUCCAAAUUCAUAUUUCAUCAUCGGCGACUCAGCCUAUCCGUCAACGAAAUGGCUGGUGUCACCUUUCAAAGACUAUGGAAUUUUAAAUGAAUCCCAGCGAAAAUUUAACGAAAUACAUUCUUCUACAAGAAUGGUAGUUGAAAACGCCUUUGGGUUGCUUAAAGGGCGAUUUCGUCGACUUUUGAGGUUUACAGAGCAAACCGACUUGAAAGUGAUAACCAACAUCGUAGUCAGCGCAUGUGUUUUGCAUAAUAUUUGCAUCUCUUUUGAUGACUUAUGUGUUAUCGACGAACUAUAUGAAGCGAUUGCCUUUGCUCAAGAAGAACAACAAGAUGAGUCUAAUCUGAAUGAAACGCUUGACAGGAGGCAAAAUCUUUUUAAUUAUUUAAGACCUCCAACUAUUUUAACUCCAAUUUUACUGGUAAUACAGUUCUCGAGCAGAACGCUUUUUUCGUCCCACUGGAGCUGAAGAAGAAGCAGCUUCUAGUGGUGGUGUUCACCGAUUGUAAAUGUGGCGAUGACGAAGGGCUUUCCAUCGUCGAUGGUGAAGCCAGAGAUGAAAUUGACGAUGUUGGCGACGGUGAUGGUACAGGUGGCGGCACGUCUACCGACACCAUCUCAAAUGAUCUGAAGCCCACGUGGACGGUGUGGUCAUUUGAAAUGAUAGGAGUGUUUCCAAAGAUUUCGUCCACCAGCUCCAUAUAAGCAGCAAUACAUGGGCUGGCACCUGUGCCGCGGAGGCCGCUCUGAAUCCUAAAAGUAUGAUUUAUUAAUUAAGUUCAUUGUUUUUUUUUUUUGUAUAUAUAACCUACGGUGAUCCCCAAGGACACUAUGUCUUCCAAAACAUUGGCGUAAGCGACCCUCUUCCUUUUGAAAUGCUCAAAUUCAGCUUUCCGGGCAAGAUAGCACCUUAAAAAUCCCACUGUCUCCUCACGGGACCAUUUUCUUC